rnacentral:tRNA from 1 species
UGACGCGUAGUGCAACCGGCAGUACGGCGGACUCUGACUUCGCAGGUCCAGGUUCGAAUCCUGGCGCGUCAGC